rnacentral:rRNA from 1 species
UACGAAGGGUGCAAGCGUUACUCGGAAUUACUGGGCGUAAAGCGUGCGUAGGUGGUUUGUUAAGUCUGAUGUGAAAGCCCCGGGCUCAACCUGGGAAUGGCGAUGAAGACUGCAAGGCUUGAAUCUGGCAGAGGGGGGUAGAAGUUCCACGUGUAGCAGUGAAAUGCGUAGAGAUGUGGAGGAACACCGAUGGCGAAGGCAGCCCCCUGGGUCAAGAUUGACGCUCAUGCACGAAAGCGUGGGGAGCAAACAGG